rnacentral:rRNA from 1 species
UACGAAGGGGGCUAGCGUUGCUCGGAAUUACUGGGCGUAAAGGGCGCGUAGGCGGCCCUCUUUGUCGCGUGUGAAAGCCCCGGGCUCAACCUGGGAACGGCGCGCGAAACGGGGGGGCUGGAGUUCGGGAGAGGAGCGUGGAAUUCCCAGUGUAGAGGUGAAAUUCGUAGAUAUUGGGAAGAACACCGGUGGCGAAGGCGGCGCUCUGGACCGAGACUGACGCUGAGGCGCGAAAGCGUGGGGAGCAAACAGG